AUUGCUUCUUGGCCUUUUGGCUAAGAUCAAGUGUGUUACCUGUUCUAAAUAUUUUUUCAGUUGUUUGUCUUUGCUUAUGGAAACUUUUGCUUUGCAGGGUUUUAAAAAAAUGCAAUCAUUUAAAAUCUUUUAUGGUGUUUGGGUUUUGUGCCGUACUUACAAAGACCUUCUCCACUAUAACAUUA